rnacentral:rRNA from 1 species
GGCUUGGUUGGGCAGUCCACCUCACAGUGUGUACUGUCUGACUGAGUCUUACCUCUUGGUGAGCCAGUGUGCACUUUAUUGUGUGCAUCGGGGAACCAGGACUUUUACCUUGAGAAAAUUAGAGUGUUCAAAGCAGGCCUAUGCCUGAAUACAUUAGCAUGGAAUAAUAAAAUAGGACGUGCGGUUCUAUUUUGUUGGUUUCUAGAGUCGCCGUA